UACGUAGGGUGCGAGCGUUGUCCGGAAUUAUUGGGCGUAAAGAGCUCGUAGGCGGUGUGUCGCGUCGGCCGUGAAAACCUGCAGCUUAACUGUGGGCUUGCGGUCGAUACGGGCAUCACUGGAGUUCGGCAGGGGAGACUGGAAUUCCUGGUGUAGCGGUGAAAUGCGCAGAUAUCAGGAGGAACACCGGUGGCGAAGGCGGUUCUCUGGGCAUGAUCUGACGCUGAGGAGCGAAAGUGUGGGGAGCGAACAGG
rnacentral:rRNA from 1 species